UACGUAGGUGGCGAGCGUUAUCCGGAAUGAUUGGGCGUAAAGGGUGCGUAGGCGGGCUUUUAAGUGAGAUGUGAAAUACUCGGGCUCAACUUGAGUGCUGCAUUUCAAACUGGAAGUCUAGAGUGCAGGAGAGGAGAAUGGAAUUCCUAGUGUAGCGGUGAAAUGCGUAGAGAUUAGGAAGAACACCAGUGGCGAAGGCGAUUCUCUGGACUGUAACUGACGCUGAGGCUCGAAAGCGUGGGGAGCAAACAGG
rnacentral:rRNA from 1 species